AUGAGACGUACCACGAAUCCAUGGUUAGGGAAGACGAGGCGGAGGAGGGCGAGCAGCUGUUUCUCCAUGAUGAACCAGAGCCGGCAACUUCUUUUCUUCUGUCACCGGCUUCCUUCCUCUCCCUGCAGCUCCACUCCACUACAGCAGGAGCCCGGUCCCUGCUGCUUCUUGUCCCCGACUCUGAACAGAGAAUGGCCUAUGCACAAUGAGCAGGAUAUGGUACUACUCCACCAUGAAGUCGAGGUGGAGUACCCCGACGAGCAACCCACCGAGAAGCACCAAGCGACGAAGCUGGAGUUCUGA
rnacentral:rRNA from 1 species